rnacentral:rRNA from 1 species
ACCGAAUAGAUACCCUGGUAGUCCACGCCCUAAACGAUGCGAACUGGAUGUUGGGUACAUUACGGUACUCAGUGUCGAAAGCUAAACGCGUUAAGUUCGCCGCCUGGGGAGUACGGUCGCAAGACUGAAACUCAAAGGAAUUGACGGGGGCCCGCACAAGCGGUGGAGUAUGUGGUUUAAUUCGAUGCAACGCGAAGAACCUUACCUGGCCUUGACAUCUGUCGAAUCCUGCAGAGAUGCGGGAGUGCCGCAAGGAACGACAAGACAGGUGCUGCAUGGCUGUCGUCAGCUCGUGUCGUGAGAUGUUGGGUUAAGUCCCGCAACGAGCGCAACCCUUGUCCCUAGUUGCCUGCACGUAAUGGUGGGAACUCUAGGGAGACUGCCGGUGACAAACCGGAGGAAGGUGGGGAUGACGUCAAGUCCUCAU